AGAGUUUGAUCCUGGCUCAGGACGAACGCUGGCGGCGUGCCUAACACAUGCAAGUCGAGCGAGAGACUUCGGUCUCUAGCGGCGGACGGGUGAGUAACACGUGGGUAACCUGCCUCAAACAGGGGGAUAGCCUUCCGAAAGGAAGAUUAAUACCGCAUAACAUCAAAUUGCCGCAUGGUAGUUUGAUCAAAGGAGUAAUCCGGUUUGAGAUGGACCCGCGGCGCAUUAGCUAGUUGGUGAGGUAACGGCUCACCAAGGCGACGAUGCGUAGCCGACCUGAGAGGGUGAUCGGCCACAUUGGAACUGAGAUACGGUCCAAACUCCUACGGGAGGCAGCAGUGGGGAAUAUUGCACAAUGGGCGAAAGCCUGAUGCAGCAACGCCGCGUGAGUGAUGAAGGCCUUCGGGUUGUAAAACUCUGUCUUUGGGGACGAUAAUGACGGUACCCAAGGAGGAAGCCACGGCUAACUACGUGCCAGCAGCCGCGGUAAUACGUAGGUGGCAAGCGUUGUCCGGAUUUACUGGGCGUAAAGGAUGCGUAGGUGGAUAUUUAAGUCAGAUGUGAAAUACCCGAGCUUAACUUGGGUGCUGCAUUUGAAACUGGAUAUCUAGAGUGCAGGAGAGGUAAGUGGAAUUCCUAGUGUAGCGGUGAAAUGCGUAGAGAUUAGGAAGAACACCAGUGGCGAAGGCGACUUACUGGACUGUAACUGACACUGAGGCAUGAAAGCGUGGGGAGCAAACAGGAUUAGAUACCCUGGUAGUCCACGCCGUAAACGAUGAGUACUAGGUGUAGGAGGUAUCGACUCCUUCUGUGCCGCAGUUAACACAAUAAGUACUCCGCCUGGGAAGUACGGUCGCAAGAUUAAAACUCAAAGGAAUUGACGG
rnacentral:rRNA from 1 species